UUGCACCUAGAACGGAAAGAAAUCGAUUUAUGGACGAGUAUGUCCUUUUCACCUUUGUGGUAUCGAGAGUUUCCAGGUUAGCUCGGGUUGGAGGUCGUCAGAGAUAUUAUCACCCUAUCGAGUUAACGUUAUCGGAGUAAGUAAACUCAAGUGAUUCGAGUCUAUGGCAUGUAUAGGGUUUUAAUGUGAGUAUGUAAUAUUAUGAUUUAGCCAAAGGCAUUGGCUUGUUAUUAAGGUAGUAUUAGUCAUGUAAAUUGGCCUAUGUCGGCUAAUGACGUUAUGGGCCCAUAUGAUUAUUCUUAUGCAUGUAUGUUAUUAUCUCUUGUGAUGUGGCUUACAACAUGUAUGCCUAGAGAUUGAAUUGAGAUUCAUUGAUGAGCUAGUAACUAAUGCAGGAUUAAGUGAUUGGUAAAUAGUUAAUAAUGCUUCAUGAAUGGUUUGUGAUGUAAUGAUAGUUAUGUCUAGUAUGUGGUAAUGAUAUGGGCAAAUUUUAUAAUAUUUAUUGCAUAAGAAAAUAA